CACACAUGAUGUAGUACUCAGUACCUGGGAAUAAUAGGUUAUUUUACUAGCUGCAUAGUUUGGAGAUACCUAUGGAUACUCUGCACAUGCUAGAUGGACCUUGGGAAGUUAUGCCAGAUGAUAAAACACAGAAACCAAAGGCCACACACUGGUUAUAAUGAUACUUUCUUUUUUUCUUAGUAAAUGUCUGUUACAGCCACACCUAUAGAAGCAGAUUAGCGGUUCCUAGGGACUAUGGAGACAGGAAUGAGGAGUAAUUAUUAAUGGGUCAAAAGGAAAUGCUUUUGAGGAAAUGAAAAUUUCUAGAAGGAAGGUAGAGCUGGUGGCUGCACAUUGUGAAAGCAAAAACAUGAAAAUGAUUAAAAUACUAAGCUGGGUAUUACAUAUAUUCACCAUAAUUUAAACCACUCAUGUACACAGACUUUCCAAACACCUUUCUCCAGCUCACUCUUCCUCAAGAUUGCUCAUCUCUCUUGAUACGCGCCAAGGGUCAUUUUCCCAUAGUCACAUAUCCUAAAGAUGAACCCAUUAAAACCACACGCUUUCCCAUCCCAAGCCUCCCACAUGGCACCAGAUUUCUCACCACCCUCCAGAGUAGACCGUGUGUGACAAUGCUUCCAUUUUGCUGAGGGCUACAUUUUGCUAGUGCUGACGUAGUUUUCUUAGGUCACUAGACAGAGGAUGAACUCAAUUCCCUGUUCCUUGGUUCAAUGAUCCCAUUUCACCUUAGGCUGGUUUCUUGACAGCACAUUUUCUAGUGCACAAAGGACUUCACUUUUAUGUUAUUUGUAUGGGAAGGCUAUUGGAUUGACGUUUAUUCCAGGCUGGACUCUCAGGAUGAAGUAGAUUAUGGCCUCACAGGGGCAGUAGUAGGACUGUUGUUGGCUUGCUUUAAAUGGAAAUUACUGCCUUCACUAGGGGCCAUUAGCACAUCAAAAUGGUGUUUGUUGAGCCAGGAAAAGUGAUACAUUAUGUUUGCAUUUAUUCUUUGGUCCCCAAAGACUAAUUGUUGGUUUGUGUUUUUAAACACCCUUUCAAGUGCUAAGAGCCUCUAAUGAGUUAAAUUAACACACCAUUAGGGUUAAGAAUAGUGGUGUUGACGUGGACACAGUAGACCAAUUACUGGUGCUGGACUAUAGGAUGAAGCCCUGUAUGCACAGAACCCAGCUGCCCUGCCAUUUCUGAAAGACUAGGACACUUGAUAGAGCAUUCUCCACCCCCCGACACUUGUUUUGCUUAUCCUUGCAACUGUCUUUUGCCAUGAGGACCAGCCAUUAUGCAAACAAGGACACCAUGGCUUGGAGAGGCAUUGUGCCCAAUCAGACCAGCAAGAGGGUUGGGUGGGGACCCCAGAGAAUACCUGCUUUUGUUCAUAACACUUCUUGGACUUCUGGUGUUUGCACAGGGUCCAGCUUGAUACAGAGUGAAAGGUGAGCUUCCAUGAUGCCACUUAAAGAUCUGAUUUAGCUCUAGUGGAUAAUCUCUUCCUGCAAUCCAGCCAGCAUAGCUGGGGGUGGGGUGGGGUAUACCUACAAUAUGAUGAGGUGCUUGGCUCUAAGGGGGAGAGGAACUUGCUCCAUUCUGCAGAGAUAGUACAGUGGACAUGUUAGAAACUUCCAGAAACGUAGAUGCUCUAAGUGAAUCUGUUCCACUGUCUAGGAUGAGGUCAUCUCUGUCAAUCACUAUCAUGAUUUUAGAUGAUUUUUGGGUUGCAGGGAUGUUAUUAUCUUCCGUCCUCUCGGCUGAGCGAUAGAACCCAGAGGAUGAUUUUUAUAUAGCGAAACACAGUGAAAUUGAGGCUGCUAGGAACACUCUCUUGGCACAGUUUGUGAUAUGUCAGGUAGACUCCUCCUUUGGGCUGUUCUGGCUUCAUUGUUUAUCCUUAUAAUCCUGCUUGGAUGGGCUCCUAGAUUCUUCACAUAUCUCUAGGAAAAAGCCAAGUUAACUUGUGUUGGGCAGUGGGAAAAGGUUCAUAUCAAGACAUGGACAAUACUGGGGACAGGGUCAGAAUUACCCAAAACCAAGGACCUCCUCUUUGUCAUAGGAGGGAGCUAUUUCUGGUGCUUUUAACAGAGACAAGUUGUCACUGUCUGAAGACUGAUAACCAAGGUCUGUCUCCCUAGAUCUAUGCUUGAUGCCAUCCCUUUGCCGUUCUGAGCAGUAUGGCACUUAGGGGGCUGCUCUGUGCUAGGGGAAUUUGGUUUCUUUUUAAUACGUAAUAAUCACCAUUACAUCUCAAUUACUUAACAAAUAGAGAAGCACGGGGCCAUGUUAUUUCCAAAGAGCCUCCUGAGAGUAUGGCUGGAGAUCUCCAAAUGUUAUCCAAAAUUAGCCUGGAGAGGGCGGGCGAUCAGAUCUUUUAAUAUGUGCCCAAGGGAACACACGCGCAUUAUGUACUACUAGUGUGGGCGUGCUGUGCCUAUUCAUGGCUCGCACGCAGUCCUGGAAAACACCAUGCUCCUCCUCUUCCUGCUAGGAGAUACCUAGGCCCAUUAGAAGAGGCUGCAACAAGACCCUUUCUACUUCCAAGGGUGACAAUUGGAUGAGCUUUUUCUUCUCUUAAGCUGAGAAGCCCCAGAUUCUGGCUGGAAAGGAAAUAAUAGGUCACAGACAUAAUAAAAGGUACAUAAGUAAAUAUGAAAUAGUGGCAAAAAGACGUGAAAUUGUUUGAUGGGUCAGCAAGCAAACAAACAAACAAACAAAACCUCACAACUGGAUAGUGAGACAUUCCUCCUCCCAUUUGACCACAACGGUUGCCUUUUAACUCUGGUUUGUCAGUCAGUGCUGUUAAUAUUUUAUGAAAAGGGUGCUUAGGGCAAGGCAGCCAUAGACCAUUUUCUUGGGAAAUGUACAGUUUCUCAAGGCGUUUGUUUUUCAAGCCUUGGCAGUUGGCACUUUUCUUUUGAGAAAGCAGGAGUUGUUGGGGGCAGACCCUUAGUCUUAUUUCCAAGACUUGGGGUUUGGCUUAGUGUAGAAUUGUGAUCAUGAAAGCAGCUUUGGUUUACUGGUGGCAUAGCACUCAAAUAAAUUUGGGUUUAGCUAAAAGCCCUCAACAUAUAAUGAGGAUUACAAGUUAGGGAUCGGCCUGCCCCUGAAGCGUUCGAUUUCAUUUCGAUGGGCAUCUGGUAGGGCUCACUGCUUGCUGGGGGCAGAAGGCAGGCUUUUCAUCUACUGGAGCCUGCAGCCCUCAGGUACUCUGCGUGCUGGCUUUGCAUGUGGGCCUUUAUGCAGGGUGAAUAGCUCUGCAUUUGUUGUAGAAUCAAGGACUAAGUAAAGGGGAGAGAAGAGAUUACCAUUUGAGCACCCGGGUUCCCACUAAACCAAAGGUGUCACUUUCGUACACAGGUUCUCCAUUCUUCCCCAUAACCAGGAAGAUGUGAGUCUGAGGUAUCUUCUUGGUAGGAAGGUUACAAUAUUACAAAUCUCCUAUGGAUGGACUUGGCCAUCUGUGAGCACACUUUAGUGGACUGAUGCUCUGGAUAACACAUGGAUACCUAGAGGAGGAGGAAGACCUAGAGAGCAGAGUCACAGAAAGAAGAAACAGGUGAUGACUUCUCAGGGUGGUAGGCAAAUGGAAUUUAGCUCGAUAGAUAUACUACCCUUCUCUCUGUGGUCUGGGAGUCACAUCUUCUUCUCCAAGUUGCUAAAGAAGAUAGAUUUUGAGGACACCAGAGUGCAUGGUUAAUCCAGAAGACACCAUUUCAUCCUCUUAACCAAGGAGGCCUUGCAUGUGGCAUACAAGUGAUCUGUUACCGAGCUCCAUCCCUCGUCUCUGGAUCCUGCAAAUCUGCUGCAUCUUGAGGAACACAUCCUGAAGGAUCCUAGAAACAUAGAUCCCCACUUCACAUACAGAUAGCCACCGUGAUAUCAUUCAUGAUACGGAUCUGUAAGGGACAACCUAAAACUGAACCGGCUUGGAGAGAUCACUCGCUGGUUAAGAGCAUGCUCCUGUCACAGAGGACCCCAUUCCCAGCACUCACAGGGACCGAUUCACAAUUUCCU
rnacentral:sRNA from 1 species